rnacentral:lncRNA from 13 species
AUGUUCUCAUCGGGCAAAGUUAGAAGACCCCAAACUCAAUUGCAAGAGGCAGACGGAGAAGAACAAGAUGUAAGGGAACUCUGCCCUCCAGGAAAAGUCUCAAUGUCACCUAGGCUGCAGCGCAGUGGCACGAUCUCGGCUCACUACAACCUCCAUCCCUCGGGUUCAAGUGAUUCUUCUGCCUCAGCCUCCCAAGUAGCUGGAACUACAGACACAGCAGCACACAGCAAGAAGGUGGCUGUCUACAAACCAGGAAGGGAGCCCUCACCAAGAGCUGAAUCAGCAAGCAUCUUGAUCUUGGACUUCCCAUUCUCCAGAACUAUGAGAAAUAAAUGCCUGUCGCCAACAAAAUUUAGCUCUGCACAUCGAUAAAGAUGGCACCAAAGCAGUUAAAAAAAAAAAUUAAGUACAUAGGGUGUAAAUGAAACAGAUGAGCCGUGAGCUGAUGCUAUUGAAGUGGGCAUAGAUAAGCAGAGAGGUCUGUGCCAACACUGUCCAAAAGUAUGUCACAUGGGCCAUAUACGUCAUUUCAAAUUUCCCAGUAGCCACAUUUUAAAAGUUAAAAAGAAAUAGGUGAAUCCAUUUUUUAAAUGAUCUUUAACUCAGUAGAUUCAAACUAUAAUCAUUCCGGCACGUGUCUAUAGCCUGAUCUGAAGUGCUCUGUCUCACGGCUGGUGGUUUCCAUAUUGAACGGCAGAAUUCUGUGCUAGACACUCUACUUUUAUGCAUGUCAAAGACGUUUUCCGGAAUAAAAACAAAAAGUUGACAAACA